rnacentral:lncRNA from 1 species
UACCCAGCUUCAAUCAUAAGCACGGGCCCAAUCACUCAGUUAGAACUUACUAAAGAUAGGAAUGAAUGAAUGAAUGAAUGAAUGAAUGGAGUGGACAAAUUAAUAAUGCCGCAUGGAAACAAAGAAGGACAGGAACAUGAAAGUAAAGGAUUGCUUUGUCUGAAAACCAUACAGGCAGUAAAGGGCACACGUCUUCCUGGCACUCGGGGAAGCCGCACUGCCAGCAGCAGCUCUCGAGAGCUAGGACGCUGCACAGAAGGUAUGGGAGCAUCUAAACAGGCUGCACUGCUUGAUGGCUUAAGAUAAAUAUUCAUACUUAAUACUGGUUCUAGGGUAUGAAUUUUUAGACUAUAAUUCUUUAAAAUUUAUUAUAGUUUUAAACUUAAUUGGGUGAAAAUAUUUAUUGGUGGGGGAGGGGAUGCAAUUACCCAAUUACCAAAGCUAGAAUGAAUCCUAGGAGGGAUACUAAAACUAUCUUUAAGUACUGAGAGGAUUUUAUUACAGCAACUCUUAAAACAAUAAUGAAUGUUAUGUGUUCCUCAGCCAUUUUUACAACGGAAGAGAAACACACCUUUUUCAAACAGAAAGCAGAUUUGCGUCUGUGGAGGAAGAAGCAAGAAACGGCUCCAUGCCAACAAAUCCUCCUCACAAACCCCCACCACUAAAAAAAUCACAUUUUCUUUGAACGUUAAGAAAAAGGAGGAGUGGGUGGAGAGGGAAACUCUAGUGAAGCUACAGACAGUACAAUGGAGAGGUGGGAAAUAGCAUUAAAAAUAUGUUGGCAUUUUCCCUAAUGGGGAGUGCUGACAAGUACAAUCCUAUUACUCAAAUCACAUCAGCAAUGAGAUAAAUGAAAUAAAAACAAGAUCUCGUGUGACCAGAGUGGCUAUUUGUCCACAGAUUUUCAUUGCAUUGAAAGUACCCCCAAAAAUGGGACAUAGUAGAAAACAUUGUUAAGGAGGCUUUUAAAACACAUCAUUGAGAUUACAGCACCUUUUAAAAUAAACAGCACUGAAUAGCAACACAGGUAAAAUGUCAUUGUAAGACGGGGUUCCGAUAUUCAACGGCGUGCUUUAUGGCUUUCCAGUGUGUGAUAAAAUCUGUUCACCAGAUGUACUGUAUGUCUCCUGUGUAGCAUACUUGAGCAUCCUGUAGGCCCAAGGCACAUUUAUUUCAUGUAAUUGCCUUUCCUGUGCACACCUUGGGGCACCCUAAUUCUCCAUUUUAUUUCAGGCACUGUACAGGGUACCAUCUGGUAGUUUUAAACUCAUCCCGUUUUAUGGCACUACUGCAGUGGCUAUAUUCAGCUGUACUGCAGGCUUUCGGUGGAGACAGACUUCUUACUACCAGCUAUUUAUUUCUGCCUGAAAUAAAGUAGCCUUGAACUAUCAACAUGCAGGAUUCACACGUAGAUUGUCACCAGUCCAUACGAGCUAGACAGAGAUUCCCAGGCAACCUGCAGACUUGAAGCAUUUCCGAAUUGCUUUACGCACAGCUGUUAACUUAUAGAAUUGGGAUUCUAAAUUCUUCGCCUACUUCUGCACAUAAUGAUAUCUUUUUAGUAUCUCGUUUGUAUUAUUUCAGUUCAGAUGAGCACAAAAAUAAAUGUAUUCCAUCACAUCUGGAAAAGUACCACAGAGAAAUCACUUAAUAUACAAAGCUGCACACCUCAUUACGAGGUUCGUCACUCAUUUCAAACCCAACCUUAUCUCUGUCCCUCAUCAACAUGGCUUUUGUUUUGCUGUUGUUUUCCUUAAACUGUUGAAUCUUUUCUUUUCAAGGGAAUUUGCAAGAUCUUGAAAAGACGAGUUUGGAAAUAAUAUACUUGCAAAAGGAAAAUAAAUCUCAGAAGCACGCAGCUUUUCUGCAGCAGGUCCCCUAUGAGCAUGCCAUCCUCAACUUGUGCACCAGUUAGAUAGGAAGUCACUCUGUUUUCUCUGAGAAUUCAUCUUCUGCUUCUGACCAGCGCCCCCCCGACCCCCCACCAAUGUGCCCACACAGCUGGGCAAGCCACUUUAACAAAGGGUCUCUGAUAUGCAAAUAACACACACCCAGCUGCAUGUUUCCAAAUGAGUCAUUGUUCACCUGCUGGUUCCUGCCUCACCAAAUCCCUCUUGCUGCAUGUGUUAUGCAUUCCCCCUUCUCCUAUCCCUUUCUUCCCUGUGCAACAGCUAAGGUCUGUAGGCCCCCUCGGAAUGGCAAUGAAAAGACUGCAAUGAGAGUGGGCCAGGCCAGUGAUGGGACGAGGUGAGUGAUGAGUUGGCUUGCGAGUCACUGCUGCCUCUUGACAUGUGUGAUCUCGGCAUUGCCCAGGGAGAUUACUAGUCUUUGGCCUGAGACACAGAAAGCCUUCCAGUGUACAAUCUGCUACCUAGCGUCAAUGACUUGCAUAAAUAAAUAAACCAAUCAGGAGAUGCUGGCUUUACUAUUGGCACCUUGGCCUUCAUUAUGGCAAUGGUAACAAUUACAGAUGAAAAAAUAAGGUAGAAAAAGGCUGGAUCUUGACCCGUUUGCCACAGAUUCUUUACAUGUUUUGCAUUUGUGGCAAUGACAAAUGUAGCUAAAUGCACCUGGUUGUAGCUGUCUGCUGUGAUCUAAAGCCUUUUUGAAUGAAAAGAAAAACUCCUUCUGUUAUUUAUUGUUGGAAGCAGAGUUUACUUUGCUGUCUUUCACCUCGGCAGAAAUCAGAAAUGCCAGUUUAACAGCAAGCUGAUGAGCUCUGGGGAACAGAGCAAAGAGUCGUUUGCUGGAGUCUUGUAUAUCAGUAGAAGACCAGUGACCAAAUAGAUUCAUAUUUAUUUUCCUGGAGUUUUCCCCUCUUCUUUGACUCUCAGGCAAUCUUGUUCUAUAAAAAUGUUAAUGCUGGUCUGAAUAUAAUGGGUGAUUUUUUCCCCCACAACUCUGUCAAACAGAUCUUCCCAAUAAUUAAAUGUGCAUCCUUGAGCUCUAAGAGCAGGCUUGUUGAACAAAGCAACCGCAAAUCCAACUAAUCUUUGAAGAAUGAGAGUGUCAAAGUAUAAGCAGAUGUUUUAAUUUGCACAAUGCUGGGAUUUUUUGGAUGCCAAAUGUUCCUAAAAUAGUUAUUGUAUCUAGACAGCAGGAGAAAGAUAUACUCAGAAAUGACCUACACGCCUCUCAGUUACAGACAUUGUUUCCUUCAGCAGAAGUGAUAUUGAAUGUGUUGUUAAGAAAGCUGUAUGUUAAUCAGCAUUUAAUGAGAAGGUAUCACAAUUCUAUGAUUAUAAUAUAUGAGAAAAAGAAAACAAGAGGGCACUACAGAAUUUUAAAGUAAAGUACACACACACACACGCACACACACACACAGUCUUUGUAAAGUCCAUAGCUAAAACAAAGAUGGGACACAAUAAAAGGGCUCAUGUUCCCUUGUGUGGGCAUCAAAUGUUUCUAAAAACGACUUAAGAGAUGCCUGCUAUUAAAGCAAAACAGGAGGAUAUAUACUUUAGCCAUGAAAUUAGCGCAUAAUGUUAUCUAGCCAGUUGAACUUGCAUUGCUUUAGGGAAAUAUUAGCACACGUUUUCCACAAGUGGAUGUAGGCAGGAAAGAUUUAUAUUAGACAUCAGGAAUAAUGUCCUGACUUUCAGAAGAGUUGUGAGAAGCCAAAUAGUUUACCAAAGAAGGCUGUGGAAUUUACCUCCUGGAAAUUUUUAGCAGCAGACAUGAGACCCAUAUGUUUGAGACUAUUUCGGAGUCUUUGAAAUGAAUAGAAUGGUCUUAUUAAGAGUUUCCUAGUCCUUUUCUUUUGUAGCUUGCCUGAGAAGAGGUUAGACAUUCAGUCCACAAAGCCAGGCUUCUCUCCGACCUUCCCCUAUACAUUUCCGAAGACAGAGAAGAGGAAAAAGGAGGUAGAGUCUGGUAUGAGGGCACCAGGGAACAUUUCCUUACUUCACAAUUUGGUGAACUGAGUAGAACUGCCUGACAUCACACAGAGGGUAAACUUCUGCCUAGGGCCAUGGAAAAAGGCAAGAAGGUCCCGUGACCAAGAAAUGACCAGCUCCACAGAGGAAAUGCAGGGCCACUCUCCGACUGGACCCCACUGUGCACAAGCCUGCUCAAUGUGAAGAUGACGAGGAUGAAAACCUUUAUGAUGAUCUACUCCUAUUUAUGUGGACUUGCUCUGGAUUAGGGAUGAGAAGACCUGACUCUACUGUUUUCUUGAUAAGUGACCUUGAACCAGACACAUGUGCUCAAGUUCCAUAUCUGUAAAAUGAAGAUACCUGGCCUUCCUACUUCACAAGGUUCUUUUGAAGAUCAAAUGUAAUACUGCAUAAUAAAGUGACUCAUAAAUUC